rnacentral:rRNA from 1 species
AAGGAUCAUUAUUGAAUUAUGUUUUCUAGAUGGGUUGUAGCUGGCUCUUUGGAGUAUGUGCACGCCUGUCUGGACUUCAUUUUCAUCCACCUGUGCACCUUUUGUAGUCUUUUUCAGGUAUUGGAGGAAGUGGUCAGCCUAUCAGCUCUUUGCUGGAUGUAAGGACUUGCAGUGUGGAAACAGUGCUGUCCUUUACCUUGGCCAUGGAAUCUUUUUCCUGUUAGAGUCUAUGUUAUUCAUUAUACUCUUAGAAUGUCAUUGAAUGUCUUUACAUGGGCUAUGCCUAUGAAAAUUAUUAUACAACUUUCAGCAACGGAUCUCUUGGCUCUCGCAUCGAUGAAGAACGCAGCGAAAUGCGAUAAGUAAUGUGAAUUGCAGAAUUCAGUGAAUCAUCGAAUCUUUGAACGCAUCUUGCGCUCCUUGGUAUUCCGAGGAGCAUGCCUGUUUGAGUGUCAUUAUAUUCUCAACUCUCCAAUACUUUGUUGUAAAGGAGAGCUUGGAUUGUGGAGGUUUGCUGGCUCCUUACUUGGGGUCAGCUCCUCUGAAAUGCAUUAGCGGAAUCGUCUGCGAUCUGCCACAAGUGUGAUAACUUAUCUACACUGGCGAGGGGAUUGCUUUCUGAUGUUCAGCUUCUAAUCGUCUAAGGACAAUUUCUUGAAUGCUUGACCUCAAAUCAGGUAGGACUACCCGCUGAACUUAA